UACCUGGUUGAUUCUGCCAGUAGUCAUAUGCUUGUCUCAAAGAUUAAGCCAUGCAUGUCUAAGUAUAAGCAAUUUAUACCGUGAAACUGCGAAUGGCUCAUUAAAUCAGUUAUCGUUUAUUUGAUAGUACCUUACUACUUGGAUAACCGUGGUAAUUCUAGAGCUAAUACAUGCUAAAAGCCCCGACUUCGGAAGGGGUGUAUUUAUUAGAUAAAAAACCAAUGCCCUCCGGGGCUCCUUGGUGAUUCAUAAUAACUUAACGAAUCGCAUGGCCUUGUGCCGGCGAUGGUUCAUUCAAAUUUCUGCCCUAUCAACUUUCGAUGGUAGUAUAUGGGACUACCAUGGUUUCAACGGGUAACGGGGAAUUAGGGUUCUAUUCCGGAGAGGGAGCCUGAGAAACGGCUACCACAUCCAAGGAAGGCAGCAGGCGCGCAAAUUACCCAAUCCCGACACGGGGAGGUAGUGACAAUAAAUACUGAUACAGGGCUCUUUUGGGUCUUGUAAUUGGAAUGAGUACAAUUUAAAUCCCUUAACGAGGAACAAUUGGAGGGCAAGUCUGGUGCCAGCAGCCGCGGUAAUUCCAGCUCCAAUAGCGUAUAUUAAAGUUGUUGCAGUUAAAAAGCUCGUAGUUGAACCUUGGGCCUGGCUGGCCGGUCCGCCUCACCGCGUGCACUGGUCCGGCCGGGUCUUUCCUCCUGGGGAGCCACAUGCCCUUCACUGGGUGUGUUGGGGAACCAGGACUUUUACUUUGAAAAAAUUAGAGUGUUCAAAGCAGGCCUAUGCUCGAAUACAUUAGCAUGGAAUAAUAGAAUAGGACGUGUGGUUCUAUUUUGUUGGUUUCUAGGACCGCCGUAAUGAUUAAUAGGGAUAGUCGGGGGCAUCAGUAUUCAAUUGUCAGAGGUGAAAUUCUUGGAUUUAUUGAAGACUAACUACUGCGAAAGCAUUUGCCAAGGAUGUUUUCAUUAAUCAGGAAAGGAAAGUUAGGGGAUCGAAGACGAUCAGAUACC
rnacentral:ncRNA from 1 species